rnacentral:lncRNA from 1 species
CACCUCGUCGAGCCUUGGGCGCCUUGCAUGGCUUGCCGCGCCUGCGGCCGCCUGUCGAGGAAGAAGGCUCCCCCUUCUUCCGAUCACCCUGGCAGGCCUCCCAUUGCUCCUGAGUGAAAUGGAGCUUCCCGCCGAUGAUGACAGGCCCUGAGGGAGGCUGUGACUCGUCGCUGUCGACGACCUUGAGGCGACCUAUCGCCUCCUCGAUCGACAUCCUGGAGAGGUCCAGUAGAGAC